rnacentral:tRNA from 2 species
GCCGGUUUAGCUCAGUUGGCAGAGCAGCGCAUUCGUAAUGCGCAGGUCUGGGGUUCAAGUCCCCAAACCGGCU